rnacentral:rRNA from 1 species
CCUACGGGAGGCAGCAGUGGGGAAUAUUGGGCAAUGGAGGAAACUCUGACCCAGCGACGCCGCGUGCGGGAUGAAGGCCUUCGGGUUGAAACCGCUUUCAGCAGGGAAGAAGCGAAAGUGACGGUACCUGCAGAAGAAGCACCGGCUAACUAUGUGCCAGCAGCCGCGGUAAU